UACGUAGGUGGCAAGCGUUGUCCGGAUUUACUGGGCGUAAAGAGCGCGCAGGCGGUCGUUCAAGUCGCGUGUGAAAGCCCCCGGCUCAACUGGGGAGGGUCACGCGAUACCGAUCGACUCGAAGGCAGGAGAGGGUAGUGGAAUUCCCGGUGUAGUGGUGAAAUGCGUAGAUAUCGGGAGGAACACCAGUGGCGAAGGCGGCUCACUGGCCCGGUACUGACGCUGAGGUGCGAAAGCGUGGGGAGCAAACAGG
rnacentral:rRNA from 1 species